GAUGAACGCUGGCGGCGUGCUUAACACAUGCAAGUCGAACGAAGCACUUUAUUUGAUUUCCUUCGGGACUGAUUAUUUUGUGACUGAGUGGCGGACGGGUGAGUAACGCGUGGGUAACCUGCCUUGUACAGGGGGAUAACAGUUGGAAACGGCUGCUAAUACCGCAUAAGCGCACGGCAUCGCAUGAUGCAGUGUGAAAAACUCCGGUGGUAUAAGAUGGACCCGCGUUGGAUUAGCUAGUUGGUGAGGUAACGGCCCACCAAGGCGACGAUCCAUAGCCGACCGGGGAGGGUGACCGGCCACAUUGGGACUGAGACACGGCCCAAACUCCUACGGGAGGCAGCAGUGGGGAAUAUUGCACAAUGGGCGAAAGCCUGAUGCAGCGACGCCGCGUGAGCGAAGAAGUAUUUCGGUAUGUAAAGCUCUAUCAGCAGGGAAGAUAAUGACGGUACCUGACUAAGAAGCACCGGCUAAAUACGUG
rnacentral:rRNA from 1 species